rnacentral:rRNA from 1 species
CUGUGGUUAAGUUAAUAAGGGCACACGGUGGAUGCCUUGGCGUUAGGAGCCGAAGAAGGACGCAGCGAACUGCGAUAAGCCUCGGGGAGUGGUAAGCACACUUUGAUCCGGGGAUUUCCGAAUGGGGAAACCCACCAUCU